rnacentral:rRNA from 1 species
AGCGAACGCUGGCGGCAGGCUUAACACAUGCAAGUCGAGCGGGCAUCCUUGUGGUGUCAGCGGCAGACGGGUGAGUAACGCGUGGGAACGUGCCCUUCGGUUCGGAAUAACUCAGGGAAACUUGAGCUAAUACCGGAUACGUGCGAGAGCAGAAAGGUUUAUCUGCCGAAGGAUCGGCCCGCGUCUGAUUCGCUAGUUGGUGAGGUUACGGCUCACCAAGGCGACGAUCAGUAGCUGGUCUGAGAGGAUGAUCAGCCACACUGGGACUGAGACACGGCCCAGACUCCUACGGGAGGCAGCAGUGGGGAAUAUUGGACAAUGGGGGCAACCCUGAUCCAGCCAUGCCGCGUGAGUGAUGACGGCCUUAGGGUUGUAAAGCUCUUUUCUCCGGGACGAUAAUGACGGUACCGGAGGAAUAAGCCCCGGCUAACUUCGUG